GUCGGGUUGUUGAGUCAAUUUGUUGUUCAUUUAUUCUUCAUCAACUCUUCAGAUCAUGUGAAGAAACGGUGAAGCUAGAAAGUGUGUGUGAGCUGAUGUGGAUUCAGCAGCAUGGAUCAGUGUGAGGACAGAGAGGAGGGAGUCCCUCCCUCUAAAACCACUCUGUGUGGGGAAGAUGAGAGCCAGAGCAAAGGUCAGAGGAUCCAUCAGAAACGCAAACCAGAACCAGAACCAGAACCAGAACCAGAACCCAGCUGUGUGUCCUUUAAGAGCAACAAGUCAAAGGGUCGUAUCAUUAACUUUAAAU